rnacentral:other from 1 species
GGACCUCUGCGGUGUUCGUGAUCGGACGUGGCUUUCGGCGAACCGAUGAGUACCUGCGGGGGACCCAGAUUCCGACCGGGCCGACCAUGCCCCCACGCCGUGGGGGAAGGGCGGACGACGGAUGCGGUCCCCACGUCUGUUGCGGGUUCUCGAAAGCGUCCAAGACACGGCACAGGCGGAGGUUCG